rnacentral:rRNA from 1 species
UACAGAGGUCCCAAGCGUUGUUCGGAUUCACUGGGCGUAAAGGGUGCGUAGGUGGUGGGGUAAGUCGGAUGUGAAAGCUCGGAGCUCAACUCCGAAAUGGCAUUGGAAACUACCCUGCUAGAGGAUUGGAGGGGGGACUGGAAUACUUGGUGUAGCAGUGAAAUGCGUAGAUAUCAAGUGGAACACCAGUGGCGAAGGCGAGUCCCUGGACAAUACCUGACACUGAGGCGCGAAAGCUAGGGGAGCAAACAGG